GGAGAAAAAAAGAGAUUGAAUUUGUUUAAAAAUGGGUAUAAGUUAAAACGUUUUAAAAAUAAAUAUUACAUAUUAAAUGGGAGCGAUCAAAUAAGACACCAUGUGUAAUUUUUUUCAAGUUUACCUUUUGCUUUCCGUUCUUUAUGGAACAUGAUGAUUUCUCUAAUGUUAAAUUGAUGCCACAUUGUAAAUGCAACUUCUUCAACUAGACAAUACUGUGUACGAGUGAUUUUAUGGUAUGCUUACACAAUCGAUAUUAGUUGUAUGAGGUUUUUAUUUUAUUUUAUAUAUUUAUGGGCCUAUAUUUUAUAUAUUUAGAUUC
rnacentral:lncRNA from 1 species